GAUGUUGAACGAUCCGAACACUGAGUCAGUGUUGUGAUGAAGAACUUUUUGCUG
rnacentral:misc_RNA from 1 species